rnacentral:rRNA from 1 species
CGGGCAUAGCAAUAUGUCAGCGGCAGACGGGUGAGUAACGCGUGGGAACGUACCUUUUGGUUCGGAACAACUGAGGGAAACUUCAGCUAAUACCGGAUAAGCCCUUACGGGGAAAGAUUUAUCGCCGAAAGAUCGGCCCGCGUCUGAUUAGCUAGUUGGUGAGGUAAUGGCUCACCAAGGCGACGAUCAGUAGCUGGUCUGAGAGGAUGAUCAGCCACAUUGGGACUGAGACACGGCCCAAACUCCUACGGGAGGCAGCAGUGGGGAAUAUUGGACAAUGGGCGCAAGCCUGAUCCAGCCAUGCCGCGUGAGUGAUGAAGGCCCUAGGGUUGUAAAGCUCUUUUGUGCGGGAAGAUAAUGACGGUACCGCAAGAAUAAGCCCCGGCUAACUUCGUGCCAGCAGCCGCGGUAAUACGAAGGGGGCUAGCGUUGCUCGGAAUCACUGGGCGUAAAGGGUGCGUAGGCGGGUCUUUAAGUCAGGGGUGAAAUCCUGGAGCUCAACUCCAGAACUGCCUUUGAUACUGAAGAUCUUGAGUUCGGGAGAGGUGAGUGGAACUGCGAGUGUAGAGGUGAAAUUCGUAGAUAUUCGCAAGAACACCAGUGGCGAAGGCGGCUCACUGGCCCGAUACUGACUCUGAUGUAUUAAAGCGUGUGGAGCAUAUAUGAUUAUAUAUUCUGUUAGUCCACGCCGUAAACGAUGAAUGCCAGCCGUUAGUGGGUUUUACUCACUAGUGGCGCAGCUAACGCUUUAAGCAUUCCCGCCUGGGGAGUACGGUCGCAAGAUUAUAUCUCAAAGGAAUUGACGGGGGCCCGCACAAGCGGUGGAAGCAUGUGUUUAAUUCGACGCAACGCGCAGAACCUUACCAGCCCUUGACCUCCCGUUCGCGGACUCCAGAGACGGAGUUCUUUCCUUCGGACUGGCCGGAAACAGGUGCUGCAU